rnacentral:rRNA from 1 species
UACGAAGGGAGCUAGCGUUGUUCGGAAUCACUGGGCGUAAAGCGCACGUAGGCGGAUUUGUAAGUCAGGGGUGAAAUCCCGGGGCUCAACCUCGGAACUGCCUCUGAUACUGCAAAUCUCGAGUCCGGAAGAGGUGGGUGGAAUUCCUAGUGUAGAGGUGAAAUUCGUAGAUAUUAGGAAGAACACCGGUGGCGAAGGCGGCCCACUGGUCCGGUACUGACGCUGAGGUGCGAAAGCGUGGGGAGCAAACAGG